rnacentral:tRNA from 1 species
CCUCCUUUUAUAAAUACAAAGUUAUUCUUUGUGAGUAUCUACACACAUUACUUGAUAUUAAAAAUAGAUAGAUAUCUGGGUCUGUAGCUCAGUUGGUUAGAGCGCACCCCUGAUAAGGGUGAGGUCGGUGGUUCAAAUCCACCCAGACCCACCAUUUAUUGCCUGCUUGAAUUAAUUAGUACGUUCACGUGUAUUAGCGUGUUUUACAAACAAAAAUAAUCCAGCCAGAACAAAAAUUGGUACAGCCCGAACCUGAAUACCCAAGAACAUUUGGGGCUAUAGCUCAGCUGGGAGAGCGCCUGCCUUGCACGCAGGAGGUCAGCGGUUCGAUCCCGCUUAGCUCCACCAAUUUAUCUAUCUAUAAAUGAUUAUUAUUUAAAAGUAGUUUUAUAAAGAUUAUUUUUAAAUGAGAAAUCAUUGCUCUUUAACAAAAUGGGAAAAACAAGGCAGAUUAUAUUGAUUGUGAUGAUCGAUAUAAUCGUAAAGAGAAGAGAAUAAUAUGUACA